rnacentral:rRNA from 1 species
AUAGAGACUCAGAGCUGCAUAUCAAUAAGCGGAGGAAAAGAAACUAACUAGGAUUCCCUAGUAACGGCGAGUGAAGCGGGUAGAGCUCAAAUUUGAAAUCUUAAAGGUUUUCCCUUGACGAAUUGUAGUUUAAAGAAGUGUUUUCUGUUGGAGUUUCGGUAAAAGUUCUUUGGAAUAGGACAUCAUAGAGGGUGAGAAUCCCGUAUUUGACCGUUACUUUCCAGCUGUGUGAUACACUUUCAAAGAGUCGGAUUGUUUGGGAAUGCAGUCCAAAAUGGGUGGUAAAUUUCAUCUAAAGCUAAAUAUUGGCGAGAGACCGAUAGCGGAACAAGUACCGUGAGGGAAAGAUGAAAAGAACUUUGAAAAGAGAGUUAAACAGUACGUGAAAUUGUCAAAAGGGAAGCGUUUGACACCAGUGUUGUUUAGUUGAAAAUCAAUUCAAUAAUUUUUGAUUUUAAGUAGUAUUUGACUUCAUCAGCUUGCUGCUUUUUUCUCUGAAAUUAUUGAAUGCACUUUUCAGUUAACAAGUCAACAUCAGUUUCUUUUGUUGUAAAAAGGUGAGAGGAAGGUGGCUUGCGCUUCGGCUCAAGUGUUUAUAGCCUUUUACCCCUGCAAUCGAAGAGACUGAGGUCUGCAGCGUAGAUCCUUCGGGGUUAGAUACAUUUGUGCUAAGCUAUAGCCUUGUAUAGACAACUUGUUGACUAUGCUCAGUCAUGUAGCUUACUCGCUUAUGCUAUUUUACCUACGCUUAGGAUGUUGAAGUCAUCGUAUCGCGC